UACAGAGGUCUCAAGCGUUGUUCGGAUUCAUUGGGCGUAAAGGGUGCGUAGGUGGCGGGGUAAGUCAGGUGUGAAAUCUCGGAGCUCAACUCCGAAACUGCACUUGAUACUGCCUUGCUGGAGUACUGGAGAGGAGAUUGGAAUUUACGGUGUAGCAGUGAAAUGCGUAGAUAUCGUAAGGAAGACCAGUGGCGAAGGCGAGUCUCUGGACAGUUACUGACACUGAGGCACGAAGGCCAGGGGAGCAAACGGG
rnacentral:misc_RNA from 1 species